UACGGGGGGGGCAAGCGUUGUUCGGAAUUACUGGGCGUAAAGGGCUCGUAGGCGGCCAACUAAGUCAGACGUGAAAUCCUCGGCUUAACCGGGGAACUGCGUCUGAUACUGGAUGGCUUGAGUUUGGGAGAGGGAUGCGGAAUUCCAGGUGUAGCGGUGAAAUGCGUAGAUAUCUGGAGGAACACCGGUGGCGAAGGCGGCAUCCUGGACCAACACUGACGCUGAGUGAGCGAAAGCCAGGGGAGCAAACGGG
rnacentral:rRNA from 1 species